rnacentral:rRNA from 1 species
GGUGUCCAGCAGUGAACUCCCAGCCGCUGU